rnacentral:lncRNA from 1 species
AUGUGUCAGCCAAGUCCCCUUAGCCUACUACAUGGCCAUUUCCACAUGCAUGGAGUGAUGGGAAUUACCAUUUGCAUACUGAGAUUCAAGUCACUUUUCCUGCCAUCAAGGAAGUCAGGCUUAAUUUGGGAUAACGACGAGCAAAAACAUCAAAGUGGUAAGUAUAAUUAGGGUAAGCACUGAGAACCAUGUGCAUGCAUAGGGAGAAAGUCUAGGGAAGGCUAAAGGUGAAAGCAUCUAAGCCAAGUUUAAUGGCCAGUUAGAAAUUAGCUAGAUUUAUUUAAAAAAUCAAAAGUGGGGGUGAGAGCUGGGGCAUUCCAGGCAGUUGAAGUAGCUUAGUGUGGGAAGAAAGAAGCAAGAGCUGAAGCUGGAGAUAGAAAAGAACCUAAAUGAUGAAAGUUUUGUAUGCCAUUUUAAGGACUUUAGAUUUUUGUCCUGAAGGUUAUGGGGAAUCCUUGAAGAAAUUUAAUAGUCACGUUUGAAAUUUCAAAGGAUUACUUUAGAGUGAUGGAUGGAGGCAGGAGAGUGUAUUAGAUGGCUAUUGCAGUUCUGCAUACAGAGGAUCAGGACCUGAACUAAAGUGGUGUGAUAGUGUUGGAGAUUAAGAGGAGUGAGCAUGGUUGAUAAAGAUUAAAGAGAUAGUUUUGAUAGAAUUUGAAGUCAAAUGGCUCAGAAGACAACCUUUGAACAAUAAUUGCAUUGGUAGUUGAAAACAUAGAAGUAGAUCAUUUUGCCCAGUGGAAGUCUAUAGAAUAGAGAGCAAAAAAAAUCAUUUAUAAGAAUGACAUCUCUAAUACCUAUGAUAGCUUCUGAAAAGUGUUUUUUGAUCACUUAAAUGAGUAAACAUAAUGUAAAAAACUAAUAACUAUGUGAACCCUAGCAAUUGAGAGGUAUAUAAAUUUAUAAUCACUAAUAAUGAUGAAUACAUAUUGAAUAUUAAUUGAAUUAAUAUGUAUUGAAUAGUCCCAAUACUGUGCUAAGCAGUUACUUAUGUUGUUUAAUAUAAUACUAUAGACAUGUAAAAAAGAAAUAUUAUAAUCUCGUUUUUCAGAUAAUGAAGCAGGGUUAGAGAAAUUAAAAACUCUUGCCCUUGUUCAUACAUUUAGUAUAUGUUAAAAUAGAUACAGAUCCAUAGUGUGCCUUAUUCGACAUUUUUUCUCAUACAGUUGGAUGUAAUUGUGCGAAAUAAUAGCCACAAUACUGUACUAUUGGUCUCAGUGUCAGCAACCAAGCAGCCUUUCUGAAAUCUGGAUUACCUGCCUUGAUAAAUAUCUUAGUUUGGUGAACUCCCUCAGAUCAUUUUAUUUAAUGUAAUUUUAUUUUCUCUAAUAUUAUUAUUAUCUUAUAUGGCUUUCAGAGUGUGUGUGUGUGUGUGUGUGUGUGUGUGUGUACACUAGUACAUAAAUAGACAAAGUCUUCGUUCUCAUAGAUCUUACCUAAACAUAGAGGCAGACUAAGAAAGAGAUGUAAGACUAUUUGAGUCCUUUAAAAAAAAAGAAAGUAUAAUUGAAUAGAGAAUAAAGCCUGACCAUGGGAAGUGUUAUUUACAUAUACAAAAUACACAUUCUUAAGUAAUAUUUCUGUGGCUCAUCUGAACCAGAAAUGUACAUUUUUAGAGUACUGGUGGGCGGGAGGAAGGAGUUCGUAGGCAGUGUGGAGAAGUGGAGUGCAAUGAGUGAGGCCCUCUUACUCUCUGCCUGAGAUGUCUUCUUUCCACAGAAAGUGAAGGCAACAGGAAUUUGGUUCAUGAUAAUCUUCUCACCAACACAUUGGCUAGACUACAGCAUGUUUAUUCAGGGCCAGAUUUCAGAGUGGUGAAGCAAUAAAGAUGAGCUAAGUACCAUGAAUUACUUAUAGACAGUCAUUUUCUCAUUUGACUUUUAGAGUGGACCACUCUUAAAUUAUAGACAAUAUUUGACAGUUAAUCUAAUUUACAUAAAUUUCUCCUUGGCACCCUGAAGGAUUACCUGGGAAAUAUUUUUUCUGAGACAUUAAUAAUGCUUAACACUCUACCAGUCUGGAGGUUGCCAAAGGCCAAGUAAAGCUUUAUUUUACCCAUGUUGAUGUCUCUUUGAUAUUAUUAAAUAUAUUUUAUAUUGUCUUCAAAAUGUCAGAAGAAUUCCUGAGGUUAUAUAAACUCCUUAUACUUUCUCUGUAUUUUCAUAGCAGAAUAUAAAACUAAUAUUAGUGAAAUGAGUCAGUUUUAUUUAAACCUUUUGCUCAUUAGUAAGUCAUAAAGUUAAAAAAAAUGAUAAAAUAUAGUAGUUGUUGGGGAGGAAAGAUUUCUUUCUGCCUUCUUAGGUUCUGCGGAUGACCUAAGAACUGAACCAAUAUGUAACAGACUAAAAGGAGAAAAGCAUACAAAUGUAUUUAUGUAAUAUUUUUACAUGCGUGCAGGAGACUUCAGAAGGAAAAUGAAGAUCUGAAGAAACCGUCAGGCCCAAAUGCUUACAUACCUUUUACACAAAGAAUGAUACAUUGUGGGGAUGUGACAAGACAAAGGAGUUUGGGCUGGGGGCAGAAAAUUGUGGGAAAGAGAUCAGGAAAUAUGUUGAGAAUACCAAUGCGAGUUAAGGGUUAUUUUAGUAGAUUUGUUUGAACAGGUCUCUUUUGUGUGGACUCCUAGUUUCUGGUGAUGAAAAUGUUCUCCUCUUCCUGGUACAGGGAAGGGAUAUUUCUCCUGGGAAAGUCUAUGAUCUGUCUUUAUGUAGAAAGGAGGUCAGAGAUCCUUUCUUACAUCAGCUGUUUCUGAAAUGCAUUCAGCUCAAAAUUAUCAAUAUGCCAAAGUGGUAUAUUUUUGGAUGGCGUAUUCUAAAAACACUUCCCAAUCCUUUUAAUCUUUUCAAUAAUUUUCCAGAUGAAGACUAUUUCUUCCUAUAACCACUUUCAUUUUAGUCACCUGAAUUAUAAUUUUUUAAAUGUAGGAAAAUCAUUUAAGAUUGCAAACCUGAAAAUAAGAGUUAUCUUGUCUUCUACUUAGCUUUAUUUUUUUCUCAGUAAAGGGCCAUGUUGUCAACAAAAUUCUUUUUUCAAUACAGAAUCAAAUUUUAUUUCUCCAUUAUUUUACUGUUAUGGUAAAAUAAAUGUUAGUAUCCCUCAUCUUAUAUUAUUUUCCCAUAAUAAAGUACAGACCAUGUGUUUAAUAAUGACAGGAACACUGUUCAUUAUUUUUCCAAUUGAAUUCCCAGGAACUGUCAAACUCCUGACCUAUUGUUGACCCU